rnacentral:rRNA from 1 species
UGGCGGACGGGUGAGUAAUGUCUGGGAAACUGCCCGAUGGAGGGGGAUAACUACUGGAAACGGUAGCUAAUACCGCAUAACGUCGCAAGGCCGAAGAGGGGGACCUUCGGGCCUCUUGCCAUCGGAUGUGCCCAGAUGGGAUUAGCUAGUAGGUGGGGUAACGGCUCACCUAGGCGACGAUCCCUAGCUGGUCUGAGAGGAUGACCAGCCACACUGGAACUGAGACACGGUCCAG